rnacentral:rRNA from 1 species
AGAGUUUGAUCAUGGCUCAGAUUGAACGCUGGCGGCAGGCCUAACACAUGCAAGUCGAGCGGCAGCACGGGUACUUGUACCUGGUGGCGAGCGGCGGACGGGUGAGUAAUGCCUAGGAAUCUGCCUGGUAGUGGGGGAUAACGCUCGGAAACGGACGCUAAUACCGCAUACGUCCUACGGGAGAAAGCAGGGGACCUUCGGGCCUUGCGCUAUCAGAUGAGCCUAGGUCGGAUUAGCUAGUUGGUGGGGUAAUGGCUCACCAAGGCGACGAUCCGUAACUGGUCUGAGAGGAUGAUCAGUCACACUGGAACUGAGACACGGUCCAGACUCCUACGGGAGGCAGCAGUGGGGAAUAUUGGACAAUGGGCGAAAGCCUGAUCCAGCCAUGCCGCGUGUGUGAAGAAGGUCUUCGGAUUGUAAAGCACUUUAAGUUGGGAGGAAGGGCAGUUACCUAAUACGUAUCUGUUUUGACGUUACCGACAGAAUAAGCACCGGCUAACUCUGUGCCAGCAGCCGCGGUAAUAC